CACGAGAUGUUACAAGCCCUGGUUGUGUGCUGCUCACUGUUGGUUGUAUAGGGCCUUUAUUGGCGAGUUUGAGAGAAAGUUUGUGUCUACAGGGUGUCCAUCACAUGUUCUACAUGCCAGCAUGUCAGCUCAGUGCUUUCACUGUGAUACUAACCAGUACUGAGCUCUGUCCGGUGAUCGUGUGGUCUGCGGAGUUUAACCCCCAGUUUCCAUAGCAGGUUAACCACGAAAGAUGUAAUUGGCAACAUUUUGUUUUUAUUUUUGUACUUUGAACAAGUGGUCAUGUGGUGAGAUUAUGUUUCUUAGUACUAUCAAGAAAGGGAUUCAUUCAACUGAGGAAUUACUAGCAUUUAGUCAUCUCAAAAAUAUCGAUAAAGUCAGCCCCGACACCUACCCUGGCGGAUAUAUACAAAGUGUGUCACUACCUGGGUCAUCUGUGUGCGGGCGGCAGGCGGUGUGCGGUUUGCUGCACCAGCACAGACGCAGCAGACGACGCACCUACUGACAGCGCGGCGUCAGGAGACAACAACCCCGACAGCUCUAAUCAGCCACCGCUGGUGUCCGAGAAAGAAGCUGAAAUCGAAAUAAUCAUGACAGACUAUGAGAGCAUCAAGCGCAAGUGUCGUCUAACGGGGACACUUUUCGAGGACAAAGAUUUCCCAGCAAGCAGCGCUUCGCUGUACUUCCGCUCGUCCUUAUCGGCGCCACUCAUUGAGUGGAAACGACCUAAAGAAAUCGUCUCAAACCCUCAGUUCAUUGCAGACGAGGCGCUGUACGUGGAUCUUGAGCAGGGAACUCUAGGAAACUGCUGGUUUGUUGCUGCCGCAGCUUCAUUGGCGGCCUCCAACAAGUCUCUUCUUCAUAAGGUCGUGCCCCCAGAUCAGAACUUUGGCUCUGAAUAUGCAGGGAUAUUCCGCUUCAACUUCUGGCAGUACGGCAAGUGGCGGGAGGUGAUCGUGGACGAUCGUCUGCCCACACGGGAAGGUCGCCUGGAGUACGCGGCCAGCACCACCAAGCAUGAGUUCUGGUGCGCCCUCCUGGAGAAGGCCUUCGCCAAACUGUACGGCUGUUAUGAGGCUAUCGAUGGAGGCAGAGUGCACGACGCCCUGCUGGACAUGACAGGGGGAAUAACUGAGCUAAUCAAGCUGAAGGGGGCCAUUGAUGUGGAGAAGCUCACCAACAUCCUGACCAUGUGCUGGAGCAUGGAAACCCUCAUGGGCGCCGCCAUCUUUGAGACCUCUGUGGGCCGGAGAGAGACGAGGUUAAACACGGGAUUAUACACUGGCCACGCUUAUAGCCUCAUCAAACAUAAGACAGUCACACAUAAAGGUCAAAAGAAGAUGCUGCUUCUCGUCCGAAAUCCAUUCGGUCGCGGAGAGUGGAACGGAGCGUGGUCUGACACAGAUAGUGCGUGGAGCGAGAUCAGUGCCAGCGAGCGAGAAGACCAUGCCAUCCGCAAGAGAGACGACGGCGAGUUUUGGAUAAGUGUAGAGGACUUCAUCGAUAACUUCGACGAGCUGGAGUUAUGCCACCUGUCUCCUGACCUUCUGGCGCCAGAUAAAGACAGUGAACGGAUGGAAAGGAAGAAAUGGAAACAAAUCUCGUUCACCGGCCAGUGGAUCAAGGAUGUGACCUCUGGGGGACCGCUGAAGAGCUUCACCUCUCGUCAGUUUUGGACCAACCCCCAGUUCCGCGUGACCCAGGACCACACCGGGCCUGUCAAUGCUGUCAUCUCUCUGUUGGAGGUCACAGACAUGUUUCUUCGGAGCGUUGACGAUGUGAACAUCGGCUUCGUCAUCUUUAAGCUCAAGCCUGGAAAGGAACCUCCAGCCCGACUAACGGCGGACAACUAUUACGAGCACACCCCACAACUCGUGGACACAUCCGGGGCUUUCUGGCCCUACAGAGAGCGUGCCGUGCAUUUCGUCCUGGACCCCGGGGCUCACGUCGUUGUGCCCUGCACCUUCAUGCCGGGACAAGAAGCACAUUUUUAUUUGAGAAUAUUUUCGGAGCUACCUGUUGAUGUCAGUCCUGCCGAAGAGCGCCUUGGGCCGACAAGAGAACUGGAAAUACCAGAGACCAGUUUGAUAGACAGACUUUUCCAGAAGCAUCGAGGACCAGAUGGUCAGGUUGACGCCAGUAGCUUGCAAAAAAUACUUGCGGAGGCGAAGUUAGAAACGUACGGCAAACCUGACGGCUACUCUCUGGAAACCUGCCGCUGCCUUGUCUUCCUUGAUGAUACAUUUGUUGUAGGACUUCUUGACCAGGAGAAAGUAAAGUUGGCGUGGAAAAAUAUCCAGCUGUGGACGUUUGCCUUCAAAGAAGCAGAUUUAAGCGGUGAUGGCAAGGUCGACGCCUCCGAGCUGAAGGGGAUCUUCCAGAAGAUUGGCUUCAACCUGGACACUACUUCUUUGCACCGUGUGGUGCGGCGCUAUGGCGACCGUGAAGGUCGGAUGCACGAGGACGACUUCCUGCAGGCUUUCUGCCGUAUCCUCGGCCUCUACCAAAUCUUCAAGAGGAAAUCAGAAAAUGGUAAAAUCACAAUGGAGCUGAGUGAGUGGAUGGCCACAACACUGUACUCGUAACAUCUCCGACUGCACUACCACAUAUCGGUUGACCCCUCUCGCCACAGCUCAUGAGGUCAAGCAUCUGUAACGUGUCUUCCAUAGGAUUCCACAACCGCUAACUAACGUUCAGAUCAUCUUUAGUCUCUGAACAUCUAUGCAACACAAGGCAGCAUCUCUUAUCCUCGCCCUACCUCUUCUCCUCGGUUAUUCAUGGUACAUAGAGAUGGUGCGACUGGUGCUGUUAUGUAUGGUUAGAGAGUUUUUACUUGUGACUUUGCCUGUAUAUUUGAGGCCGUGUCUGUGUGUCCUUUGUGUGUGAUACUGUAUGUGUGGGUGUCACUGCCCAAAUCUUACGCGCACCCCAGCAAAACUUUAUCAAGUCGUCACUCAGUCAUCUUACUACUCGUAGUGUCCUAUGAACCAAUAUAAAGCAUGAACAGAUUGACACCUACCUAUUGAAACCAAAUAAGCACUUGAAGAAAACUGAAAGCAUGAAACGUGGACAAUUUCUAAAACAUAUGAAAAUACUGUGGCAUGUGUUUUCGCGGAUUUUACUUUAGCGGACAUGUAAACAAACAGCAGUCCUAGGCAUUUUUAAAAAAUCAAUAUAAAAUAUUAGGAAGUUGCUUAUUAGAAUUGGUAAUUUUAUAAUCCCAUUUUCUGGUGCAAGCCGUUAUAUGUUUCGGAAAGGAGUUAUACAAGUCUUUAGUAUAUUUUGCAUCGGAAUACUUCUCCCCUUAAUGACGCAUAGCUUCCACUGAACUACUCACUUCAAACACCUGCACACUGGGACUAGGAGUGUCUGAAGUGUUUUAACAAAUGUAUAAAAAGGGGGGGGGGACGGUUUGUUUGCUCAGUAUUAAUCAUGGCCGUAAACCCGCCAAAGGGAGUGGUUUCUCCCUUUCAAAUUACUUUAAAUAACAAAAGCCAUAUCCCACCAAUCAAAGUUUUUUUUAACAAUAUUCUUUUACAUUUUGUUUCUCAUUUAACAUGCAAAUCUGUCUUAGAUGUUUUAUUGAUUGUCUACUUUGACAUUUGGGUCUACAUUGCAGUUUACAAGUUGUCUCAGGAGAUUCUGUAAUGUUCGAACUUUGUAAUUAACUAACAGUGGCACUUCAAUUGUUCAUUCAAUAUUCAUAUCAGUAGAAGCUUUAUUUGUUUUUAGUUGCCAAUAUUUUUAUACUAGAAUGCUCGUUCUAGAAUUAGAGCGUUUGACUGUCUGUUGGUACUAUGUUCAUGUAAGCCACAGCUUGAAUAUCAUGUGGUAUUAUUUCCAUGUAAAUAGCUGAAUAAAUAACUUUAUGAACUAUA
rnacentral:misc_RNA from 1 species